rnacentral:piRNA from 1 species
ACAUUCGUUGUUAAUUUCUUGAU